AGUGAACGCUGGCGGUAGGCCUAACACAUGCAAGUCGAACGGCAGCACAGUAAGAGCUUGCUCUUACGGGUGGCGAGUGGCGGACGGGUGAGGAAUACAUCGGAAUCUACUUUUUCGUGGGGGAUAACGUAGGGAAACUUACGCUAAUACCGCAUACGACCUACGGGUGAAAGCAGGGGAUCUUCGGACCUUGCGCGAUUGAAUGAGCCGAUGUCGGAUUAGCUAGUUGGCGGGGUAAAGGCCCACCAAGGCGACGAUCCGUAGCUGGUCUGAGAGGAUGAUCAGCCACACUGGAACUGAGACACGGUCCAGACUACUACGGGAGGCACCAGUGGGGAAUAUUGGACAAUGGGCGCAAGCCUGAUACAGCCAUACCGCGUGGGUGAAGGAGGCGUUCGGGUUGUAAAGCCCUUUUGUGGGGAAAGAAAAGCAGCAGGUUAAUACGCCGCUGUUCUGACGGUACCCAAAGAAUAAGCACCGGCUAACUACGUG
rnacentral:rRNA from 1 species